CCCUUCCCUUCCCUUCCCUUCCCUUCCCUUCCCUUCCCUUCCCUUCCCUUCCCUUCCCUUCCCUUCCCUUCCCUUCCCUUCCCUUCCCUUCCCUUCCCCCUGCUGCAUCUUGAAGCUGAAGUGAUGCUCAGAUCUAUCUUCCUUCCCAGCCCGAGCUGCCUUUUGGCACCAAUAUGAACAUGUAGCAGAUGCAAAUUGCCUCUAAUUAGAGGUAGAACACAGGACUGGAUUAAUGAUUUGUGGAUUCUUGCCACACUCUUAACAACUUCACCAACACCCUUUGGGCUGUAAUUGUGUAGGAAGAACCCACCGAAGGUAUGAUCUGACAAAAAACGGUGACCUGGCUCCAUGGGACCUGGUGGAGAUUGGAGAGUGCUCCCAGUGAUAGUCUGUGGACGUCAGAAGUGAUGGAUGGCAGCCCGUGGUUCCUUCAGAGCAGCUCUGCCAGCCCGAGGCAGCCCGGCCACUCGGACUCCUCAUGUCCCUUAUCUUCAUCAGAAAAACGCCAAAUCCCUUCUACCAAGACGACUGGAGAACCUGUGUAAUGAGGCAAGAGAUAUUGACAGCAAGGGCUGAUCAAAGGUGAGGGAGGAGAAAUAAGAGACUGCUGAUGAGUUGCAUGGAAAGGUCAGAAUUGACAGCAACUGUAAAGAAGAACAAAACAGCUUUAAAACCUCAUCCCUUUCUGACGAUAAAUAAAGAGCAUAAUCUCAAUUAUUUUGCUCUUCUGAGGACCAGUUUCAAGUGAAGGGUUUUUUAUUACAUGCAGUUU